rnacentral:tRNA from 1 species
GGAGACGUCGCAUAGCCCGGUCGAGUGCGCCUCACUGCUAAUGAGGUUUUCCCGAAAGGGAAUCGGAGGUUCAAAUCCUCUCGUCUCCGCCA